rnacentral:lncRNA from 1 species
GCAUGUCAGCAAGUCAUUAGGGAUCAUCUUUUUUCAUGUGUAUAAAUGCAUCAUAGAUAUAUCCAAUCCAUCUUCAUUUAUACAUGUUAGUUGAAUUACAUCCAUGUAAAGCUUGCUUAAAGUGAGCAGUUGUAAAAAAAUGUGCUUUAUUAUAUAUUAUAGUAUAUAUAAAAAUAUAUGCUUAGCAUGUGUGAUCAUUUUUGUUAUUGUAUAAAUUAUUUUUAUUGAUAAAGGGAGGUUAUGCACACAAUAAGGGGAGGUUAUUAUAAUGUAGUUUGUUUCUAGUCAAAUAAGAACUAUAUCUCAUGCAUGUGGUAGAAUGCUCAAAUUUUCUGAUUCAAGAAAACAAAUAAAACCAUUUUAACCAGAUCUUUCUUUAAUGUAUAGUUCAAGGAUUGAUCAACUUCAUUUGAAAUGAUUAGAAAACUUCAAAACUGUACAAUUAAUGAGGUAUAGGUAUACAUGUAAUUAAUAUACAAUAGAAAACUACAAUUGAUGAUGUAUAAAUAAUAUGAUUGAUACACAACGGGAAAGUUUGAAUCAGAACAAGAAGAAACAAGAUACAUUACUUAAUUAUAAUAAAAGGCAUUAUAAACAUUUAUGUCAUUCACCGCUUUUUUAAAAUUUUUAGUGAAUGAUCGAUCAUCUGACCGCAUUAUUAAGGAGGCUCGCGGGUACAAAAAUUUCAGUGAAAAAUUAAACAUUUGUUUUUUCAUUACAAAUUUUAUUUAUUGCACUAUCAGUUAUGACUUUAUGAUAUGGUACAAAAAUCAACCAAAAAAAUGGUUUCUGUUUGACCCCAG